GUGGGGAAUUUUGGACAAUGGGGGCAACCCUGAUCCAGCCAUGCCGCGUGCGGGAAGAAGGCCUUCGGGUUGUAAACCGCUUUUGUCAGGGAAGAAAUCCUUUGGGUUAAUACCUCGGAGGGAUGACGGUACCUGAAGAAUAAGCACCGGCUAACUACGUGCCAGCAGCCGCGGUAAUACGUAGGGUGCGAGCGUUAAUCGGAAUUACUGGGCGUAAAGCGUGCGCAGGCGGUUUUGUAAGAUCGAUGUGAAAUCCCCGGGCUCAACCUGGGAACUUCAUUGGUGACUGGAAGGCUGGAGUGCGGCAGAGGGGGAUGGAAUUCCGCGUGUAGCAGUGAAAUGCGUAGAUAUGCGGAGGAACACCGAUGGCGAAGGCAAUCCCCUGGGCCUGCACUGACGCUCAUGCACGAAAGCGUGGGGAGCAAACAGGAUUAGAUACCCGGGUAGUCC
rnacentral:rRNA from 1 species